rnacentral:rRNA from 1 species
CCUACGGGAGGCAGCAGUGGGGAAUAUUGCACAAUGGGCGAAAGCCUGAUGCAGCAACGCCGCGUGAGGGACGACGGCCUUCGGGUUGUAAACCUCUUUUAGUAGGGAAGAAGGGAGCUUGCUCUUGACGGUACCUGCAGAAAAAGCACCGGCUAACUACGUGCCAGCAGCCGCGGUAAU